rnacentral:rRNA from 1 species
CCGCUGAACUUAAGCAUAUCAAUAAGCGGAGGAAAAGAAACCAACAGGGAUUGCCCUAGUAACGGCGAGUGAAGCGGCAACAGCUCAAAUUUGAAAUCUGGCGCAAGCCCGAGUUGUAAUUUGUAGAGGAUGCGUCUGGGCAGCGGCCGGUCUAAGUUCCUUGGAACAGGACGUCACAGAGGGUGAGAAUCCCGUAUGUGAUCGGUUGGCACCCGCUACGUAGCUCCUUCGACGAGUCGAGUUGUUUGGGAAUGCAGCUCUAAAUGGGAGGUAAAUGCCUUCUAAAGCUAAAUACCGGCCAGAGACCGAUAGCGCACAAGUAGAGUGAUCGAAAGAUGAAAAGCACUUUGGAAAGAGAGUUAAAAAGCACGUGAAAUUGUUGAAAGGGAAGCGCAUGCAACCAGACUUGUCCGCGGUGUUCCGCCGGUCUUCUGACCGGUCUACUCGCCGCGGGCAGGCCAGCAUCAUCUGGGAGCGCCGGAUAAAGGUAGCGGGAAUGUGGCCCCUCGGGGUGUUAUAGCUCGCUACACAAUACGGCGCCUCCCGGGUGAGGUCCGCGCUUCGGCUAGGAUGCUGGCGUAAUGGUUGUAUGCGGCCCGUCUUGAAACACGGACCAAGGAGUCUACCAUCUAUGCGAGUGUUCGGGUGUCAAACCCCUACGCGCAAUGAAAGUGAACGGAGGUGGGAACCGCAAGGUGCACCAUCGACCGAUCCUGAUGUCUUCGGAUGGAUUUGAGUAAGAGCAUAGCUGGUGGGACCCGAAAGAUGGUGAACUAUGCCUGAAUAGGGUGAAGCCAGAGGAAACUCUGGUGGAGGCUCGCAGCGGUUCUGACGUGCAAAUCGAUCGUCAAAUUUGGGUAUAGGGGCGAAAGACUAAUCGAACCAUCUAGUAGCUGGUUCCUGCC